AACGAACGCUGGCGGCAGGCUUAACACAUGCAAGUCGAACGCCCCGCAAGGGGAGUGGCAGACGGGUGAGUAACGCGUGGGAAUCUACCGUACCCUACGGAACAACAGUUGGAAACGACUGCUAAUACCGUAUACGCCCUACGGGGGAAAGAUUUAUCGGGGUAUGAUGAGCCCGCGUUGGAUUAGCUAGUUGGUGGGGUAAAGGCCUACCAAGGCGACGAUCCAUAGCUGGUCUGAGAGGAUGAUCAGCCACAUUGGGACUGAGACACGGCCCAAACUCCUACGGGAGGCAGCAGUGGGGAAUAUUGGACAAUGGGCGCAAGCCUGAUCCAGCCAUGCCGCGUGAGUGAUGAAGGUCUUAGGAUUGUAAAGCUCUUUCACCGAUGAAGAUAAUGACGGUAGUCGGAGAAGAAGCCCCGGCUAACUUCGUGCCAGCAGCCGCAGUAACAC
rnacentral:rRNA from 1 species